CUUGGCGAUUGCCAUGCUUUUGGGGCUCUGCAUCCUGCAAAGCACCUCUGCUGAUCACUCUCCGAGCCACAAGGACUCUGAGAGUGGGGAGCAAGGUGAUGGAGACCAUGGAGACCAUGGUGAUGGUGACCAUGGAGAGGACAAUGAUGAUGAGGGGCCUGCAGAUGAGAAGAUGAGCGGGAUGGAUCGUAGGAUGGCUGCAAGGGGUUGCACAAGCUGUUGCUUUGGGAAACGCUGUGGAACCUGUUGUUUUUUUCGAAAAGCUAACGCUCCAGCAGGCGUGAAGCAUUUAUGCCAACAAAUUUGGAUUGGCAGGACACAACAGCUUUUCUAUGCGGAAAUUGACUUCUUUUAAUUUGGCUCAGUGUCAUUAUCAGUUUGUGUGGUGAACCGUACACAGUAUGUAGUGCACCACCUGCUGUUGAUA